UACGUAGGCAGCGAGCGUUGUUCGGAAUUACUGGGCGUAAAGAGUGUGUAGGCGGUUCUCUAUGUUCGGUGUGAAAUCUCCCGGCUUAACUGGGAGGGUGCGCCGAAAACUGGAGGGCUUGAGUAUGGGAGAGGAAAGCGGAAUUCCUGGUGUAGCGGUGAAAUGCGUAGAUAUCAGGAGGAACACCUGCGGUGUAGACGGCUUUCUGGACCAUCACUGACGCUGAGACACGAAAGCGUGGGUAGCAAACAGG
rnacentral:misc_RNA from 1 species